GACGAACGCUGGCGGCGUGCUUAACACAUGCAAGUCGAACGGAAAGGCCCUGCUUUUGUGGGGUGCUCGAGUGACGAACGGGUGAGUAACACGUGAGUAACCUGCCCUUGACUUUGGGAUAACUUCAGGAAACUGGGGCUAAUACCGGAUAGGAGCUCCUGCUGCAUGGUGGGGGUUGGAAAGUUUCGGCGGUUGGGGAUGGACUCGCGGCUUAUCAGCUUGUUGGUGGGGUAGUGGCUUACCAAGGCUUUGACGGGUAGCCGGCCUGAGAGGGUGACCGGCCACAUUGGGACUGAGAUACGGCCCAGACUCCUACGUGAGGCAGCAGUGGGGAAUAUUGCACAAUGGGCCGAAGCCUGAUGCAGCAACGCCGCGUGCGGAAUGACGGCCUUCGGGUUGUAAACCGCUUUCGCCUGUGACGAAGCGUGAGUGACGGUAAUGGGUAAAGAAGCACCGGCUAACUACGUG
rnacentral:rRNA from 1 species